GGUUUUAAUUCGAAGCAACGCGAAGAACCUUACCUGGCCUUGACAUGCUGAGAACUUUCCAGAGAUGGAUUGGUGCCUUCGGGAACUCAGACACAGGUGCUGCAUGGCUGUCGUCAGCUCGUGUCGUGAGAUGUUGGGUUAAGUCCCGUAACGAGCGCAACCCUUGUCCUUAGUUACCAGCACCUCGGGUGGGCACUCUAAGGAGACUGCCGGUGACAAACCGGA
rnacentral:rRNA from 1 species